UCAUUGCUGAGGAGUCCCACAACAGGAGGAAACGCCCGUCCAGUGC
rnacentral:hammerhead_ribozyme from 1 species